rnacentral:rRNA from 1 species
UACGAAGGGGGCUAGCGUUGCUCGGAAUCACUGGGCGUAAAGGGUGCGUAGGCGGGUCUUUAAGUCAGGGGUGAAAUCCUGGAGCUCAACUCCAGAACUGCCUUUGAUACUGAAGAUCUUGAGUCCGGGAGAGGUGAGUGGAACUGCGAGUGUAGAGGUGAAAUUCGUAGAUAUUCGGAAGAACACCAGUGGCGAAGGCGGCUCACUGGUCCGGUACUGACGCUGAGGUGCGAAAGCGGGGGGAGCAAACAGG